UGAAUACGAGACGCUAAGGCGUCGAAGUAGUGUAUGUCAUACUUCCAAGAAAAGCUUGCACUGUCAUAGAUAAAAAACGCCUGUACCAUAACCGACACAGGUGGGUAGGUAGAGUAUACUAGGGGCGCGAGAUAACUCUCUCUAAGGAACUCGGCAAAAUAACUCCGUAACUUCGGGAGAAGGAGUGCCUUAUUCGUAAGGUUGCAAUAACAAGAUCCAAGCAACUGUUUAUCAAAAACACAGGUCUCCGCUAAGUCGUAAGACGAUGUAUGGGGGCUGACGCCUGCCCAGUGCCAGAAGGUUAAAGAAGUUGGUUAGCAAUUGCGAAGCUGAUAACUGAAGCCCUGGUGAACGGCGGCCGUAACAAUAACGGUCCUAAGGUAGCGAAAUUCCUUGUCGGGUAAGUUCCGACCCGCACGAAAGGCGUAAUGAUUUGGAUACUGUCUCGGAGAGGGGCUCGGUGAAAUAGACUUGUCUGUGAAGAUGCGGACUACCUGCACCAGGACAGAAAGACCCUAUGAAGCUUUACUGUAACUUGAAAUUGAAAUUGGACUUUAUUCGCGCAGUAUAGGUGGGUGGCGUUGAUUAUAAUCUUGUGGGAUUAUUGGAGCCAUCAGUGAGAUAACACUCUUGUAAUGUUAGAUUUCUAACUUUGAAUCAUUAUCUGGUCAAAGAACAGUUUCAGGCGGGCAGUUUGACUGGGGCGGUCGCCUCCUAAACGGUAACGGAGGCGUACAAAGGUUUCCUCUGAACGGUUAGAAAUCGUAUCUAGAGUGUAAAGGCAUAAGGAAGCUUGACUGUGAGACCUACAAGUCGAGCAGGGACGAAAGUCGGUCUUAGUGAUCUGACGGUACUGAGUGGAAAGGCCGUCACUCAACGGAUAAAAGUUACUCUAGGAUAACAGGCUGAUCUCCCCCAAGAGUUCACAUCGACGGGGAGGUUUGGCACCUCGAUGUCGGCUCAUCGCAUCCUGGGGCGGUAGUACGUCCCAAGGGUUGGGCUGUUCGCCCAUGAAAGCGGUACGCGAGCUGGGUUCAGAACGUCGUGAGACAGUUCGGUCCAUAUCCGGUGUAGGCGUUAGAAUAUUGAGAGGAGCCUUCUUUAGUACGAGAGGACCGAGAAGGACAUACCUCUGGUGUACCAGUUAUCGUGCCAACGGUAAACGCUGGGUAGCUAUGUAUGGAGUGGAUAACCGCUGAAAGCAUCUAAGUGGGAAGCCCACCUCAAGAUAAG
rnacentral:rRNA from 1 species